GGGGGUGUAGCUCAGUGGCUAGAGCACCUGCCCUGCAAGCAGGGGGUCAGCGGUUCAAAUCCGCUCACCUCCACCA
rnacentral:tRNA from 1 species